rnacentral:rRNA from 1 species
UAGGGAAUCUUCCGCAAUGGGCGAAAGCCUGCCGGAGCAACGCCGCGUGAGUGAUGAAGGUCUUCGGAUCGUAAAACUCUGUUAUUAGGGAAGAACAAAUGUGUAAGUAACUAUGCACGUCUUGACGGUACCUAAUCAGAAAGCCACGGCUAACUACGUGCCAGCAGCCGCGGUAAUACGUAGGUGGCAAGCGUUAUCCGGAAUUAUUGGGCGUAAAGCGCGCGUAGGCGGUUUUUUAAGUCUGAUGUGAAAGCCCACGGCUCAACCGUGGAGGGUAAUUGGAAACUGGAAAACUGGAGUGCAGAAGAGGAAAGUGGAAUUCCAUGUGUAGAGGUGAAAUGCGCAGAGAUAUGGAGGAACACCAGUGGCGAAGGCGACUUUCUGGUCUGUAACUGACGCUGAUGUGCGAAAGCGGGGGGAUCAAACAGG